UUUAUUGGAGAGUUUGAUCCUGGCUCAGGAUGAACGCUGGCGGCGUGCCUAAUACAUGCAAGUCGAGCGAAUGGAUUAAGAGCUUGCUCUUAUGAAGUUAGCGGCGGACGGGUGAGUAACACGUGGGUAACCUGCCCAUAAGACUGGGAUAACUCCGGGAAACCGGGGCUAAUACCGGAUAACAUUUUGAACCGCAUGGUUCGAAAUUGAAAGGCGGCUUCGGCUGUCACUUAUGGAUGGACCCGCGUCGCAUUAGCUAGUUGGUGAGGUAACGGCUCACCAAGGC
rnacentral:rRNA from 1 species